rnacentral:rRNA from 1 species
AGCAUACUGCGGUGAAUACGUUCCCGGGCCUUGUACACACCGCCCGUCAAGUGAUGGAAGUCGACAACACUUUAAGUCGUCGAGCUAACCCGCAAGGGGAGCAGACGCCCAAGGUGGGGUCGAUGACUGGCACUAAGUCGUAACAAGGUAGCCGUACCGGAAGGUGCGGCUGGAUCACCUCCUUU